rnacentral:rRNA from 1 species
CAAUAGCGUAUAUUAAAGUUGUUGCAGUUAAAACGCUCGUAGUCGGAUUUCGGGGCGGGCCGACCGGUCUGCCGUUGGGUAUGCACUGGCCGGCGCGUCCUUCCUUCCGGAGACCGUGCCUUCUCUUAACUGGGCGGGUUCGGGAGACGGAACGUUUACUUUGAAAAAUCAGAGUGUUUCAAGCAGGCAGCUCGCUCUUGCAUGGAUUAGCAUGGGAUAAUGAAAUAGGACUUUGGUGCUAUUUUGUUGGUUUCGAACACCGAGUAAUAGAUAACUAAGGGACGAGUCAGGGGCGACUCGUAUUCCGUCCGACGAGAGGUGAAUUACUCAGACCAGCGGAAGACGAACCACUGCGAAGACAUUGUCCAGGAGUGUUUUCUACUGAUCAAGAACGAAAGUUAGGGGAGUCGAAGACGAUUAGAUACCAU